rnacentral:lncRNA from 1 species
GCCUAGGGAAGGGUGUAGAGUGGCCUCCCUCGCGUGGCUGCUCAGUAUUGUUUGCGCUCAGCCAGGGUGACCUGACGCCCGCUUUGGAAAACUGCUGAACAGCGGGCGGGCGCAGUGGUUUCUUGCAAGGUCCCAGGCAGAGCGGAAUGCAUACACCAGGAAGCCAGCAGGCCUGUCCGGAGAGGCACGGCUCACAGCCUCCGGACUGGAGAGAGCCCAGUUGCUGGGCUUCCGAGCCUUCCUCCCCUGCCCACGACUAAGGAAUGAGCCCUUCUCUGCGCCUGGCCCUGCUGCACGGAGCCGCAGAGCUGAAAGUGAAAGGUGAGGGCCCCCUUUCCCACGGCCAGAAGAGGGGCGUGGGUGCCGCGGGACUCCCCGGCGGCGGCGGCGGCGGCGGCGGCGGGAGCGCAGUCUGCGAGAGCCCUGGGACCUGGAAGGAGAAGCUGAUGUCGUCUCCGCCUGGCCCUGACCCCUCCAGCGAGUGAGUGACUCCUUCCUCCGGAGCCGACCCUUCACCAGAGAACAGGCUCAGGAUGCCCUGGCCCUGUCUGUGCAGCAGGGACCAUUGCCCUUGGAUACUGCUGACCCCUAGGGACUGCCCAGUGCCUCACAUACACCAUGAACCCGUGCCAGACCCACACCAGGACGGUGCAGACGAAGCACGGAAAAGAAGGCGCUCUAGACCACAGCUCGAGGCUACGUCAGGAGCCAGCAAGCUGCGCUCUGCCUCCAGCCACCCGGCCUGGGCCAGGAGGCCGACUGUUACUGAUGUGGAGACAGACAGGGAUGCUCCUGGCUGCCCAUCAGGGCCUUGGCAGACGAGGGAGCAGAGCCUGGAGAAGCCCAGAGUCCUGGCCAUGGGACACAGGACCCCGAGGGGGCCCUGGAGACCGUUGCUCUCGCUGGGCUGCAGAGAGCUGCAGGUGGGGUCCCUGCUGCAGGUGUCCUGGCAGCUGGGGCGCUUGCUGGGGCCCUGCCCGGCCUGGGGAAUGUUCUCAGAUGGUGUAGCAGUUCCAGGUUUACUCAGAGCUCUCUUCUGAGCUGUCAUGAAAAGUCCCUUUGGCCUGGGGCCCGGGCAGGCUGGGGCGGUGGGGCCUGUGAGCCUUGGGGGGGGGCGAGGGUCCUCCCAGCUCCCUCCCCAACUCAGCGGGGCCUGGAGAAGCAGGGGAGAGAGGGGCAGGGGGCAAGAAGACCCUCGUCUUGGGGCUCUCUUUUCUUCCCUUCACAAUGGCCUCCUGGGUGACCCUAGAAAAUGCCCCUCCCUCCCCAGCACUCAGUUUCCCUGUCUGUCAAAGGGGUGUAGAAUCACCCUAAAUCAGAUCCAUCAUUAGGUGAGGACUCAGUACAUGCUGGUGUUCCAGCCAGUGACAAGACUAUUAUCACCAAAAAUAAAGUAAAACCUAAC